rnacentral:hammerhead_ribozyme from 1 species
AUCCAGCUGACGAGUCCCAAAUAGGACGGAAUACACAUCCUGGUGGAU